UGGACUUCUCGGUAUCUCACAGAUGCUUCCCACCCGUGAGAUGUGCCCUCCCUGUACAAGGCAGGGUGAAUAAAGAGACGGCAGGGGACCGACCCCAGAACUGGAGUGACACACUCCAGGGUUCAAAACCGGAGAAUGUACCUUAGAUCUGUUGUCAGCCGGAGUGAGACUGUGUCAUCCCCUCCCUCUGCUACUCGGUGGCAUCUCUAAACUUUGGACACUUGGUGCUCUGCCUGGCAGAAUUGUUCAGAAGCCUCCACGGUGGUGUUACUUAAAGUGGAUCCUUGGCCGUGCCCUGGGGGUGCUUGUUAAGAGGAUUCCUGGGCUCCUGCUCCUCUGACCUGCAGCAUACCAUGGCCCACCAGCCAGAGUCGGGCUGUUUAACAAGCUCUCCCAGUUCAUUUCUCAGGUAGAGAAUCAAAUUGGCCAAAUACUCAUUCCCGGACCAGGUUUGAGAAGCAGGCUUAGCUGUACGCAGGACUAAUGGCAUCAGGCCCCUGCUCGAGUUCUGGAGGCUCUCCCAGCAAACAUCACCCAGCUGGGGGCAGAGAAAGCUUCCCACUAAGCUGGGCUGGCAGUGAGCACUCUGCCCGCCCGCCUGGUCUCCUUGGAUGUGCCCGGGAAGUAGGAGGGAGGAUCGUCAGCCGCCUGGCCCCGUCCUCUGAACCUGCUGCACCAGCUGGUAAAAAGCAGAGGCAAGGAGGCUAUUGCGAGGAAGUGAAAGAGGAUGUCCAGGAACCAGUCAGGCAUGCCGGACUGGAGUGGAGAAGGCUGGCUGUGGUCAGCUCCCGGGAAGACUGACUCACCGGGGCCUUGCUUGUGACUCACGCAGCGUCACACUCUGCACUGGGGUGGCACGCAUUUGGUGCAGGGGGCGUUGCUCUAUGCCAGGGACCUGACAGACAGUGGGCAGCGGGUUAGAAGGGUGAGGUGAGCCUGCCGCUGCUGUUCGCUGUCACCAUCCUUGUCCUGGUGAAGAUGGGGGCAAGCAUUCAGGGCCUCGGUCGUCCAGCCCUGGAGCUAACUCAUGCAGGUUUAGCUACUGCUCCCCACCCCCGAGACCACCCAUUUCAGAGACCUGGGGUGGUGGAAGCACAUGGGCUUUGGAGGCAGCAGGUCUGGGUUCAGGUUCAGACUCCACUACUUGAUAGCUAGGAAACCUUGGGUGAGUCACUCAAGCUCUCUGACCUGCUUCUCCAGUUGUAAAAUGCAGACACACCUGCCUCACCCGCCUCAUGCGGUUGAGUCAAGGAUCAAAUGAGGAGAGACGGUGACCAGGAGGCUGUCUCAGGGGUUGUUUGGAUGGAGGUGAGAAGAGCGAUCAGCGUUCUCCAGGCAGCAGCUUGUGGUACGUCAGUUCCCCGACCAGGGAUUGAACCUGGGCCACAGCAGUGAAACCCCGGAAUCCUAACUACUAGGCCACCAGGGAACUCCCGGAUAGUAUUUGUUUCAUAGGGCUGUUUGGAGGAUCAAAUGAGAAAAUAUAUGUGCAAUACUCAGUUCUGCCCCUGGCUUGCAGUGAGCACAUGUAGGAGGAAGGUACUCUGGCCCAUACCAGAUGUCUGAGGGAUUCAAGAAGCCUCUGGAAUUGGCCUAACACACUGUACAGAAAGUUCAGAGCAGGAAGAUGGAAAAGCAGGAAGAAGGGAACUGAAACCGAGCACAGAUGUUCACCCCUUGCACUUUCUUGGUACAGUGCUGAGCACUCCAGCAACUGCAUCUGAAGCUUCGUUACAGGACUGUUAGUUCACAGCUCAAGGCAGGAACUGUUAGCCCUUCCCACAGCCAACCGUCCCUUAAGCCGGCAUGCCUGAGCAGUCACAUCCCGGGGGCCUGGGGCCUGAGAGGAAGACGGAUCACCAAGUACUUACUAAUAAGCUCUUCAAGUUUAAGAAGCGUUCCUUCUUGAGGAUGACCAGUGCGGCCAGGCCACAGAAAGUAUAGCCGCCGUGGGCUUCCAUCCCAGGCACCCCGCCAAUUCCACCUUCCCAAUUCUGACACCUGGAAGGAGAUUGAGAAAAGCAGAUUGAGUGUCAACCAAUAAGCACAAGUGCAGGACCACCCUGGAUGGCAAAGGAUGAGUUUGCUUAGUUUAAUGCAACUAUAUUCAAUAGCUGUAACUAUAUUCAAUAGCUGUAACUAUAUUCAAUAUCUUGUAAUAAACUAUAAUGGAAAAGAAUAUGAAAAAGAAUAUAUAUAUAAAACUGAAUCACUCUGUUGUAUACCAGAAACUAACACAACAUUAUAAAUCAACUAUACUUCUAUUAAUAAAACAAACAACACUGCAACUAUGAAUGGAAAGAUGCUAAUUAACUUUUAGAAAUGCCUUUUCCUCAAAAAAAAAGGAAACUCAGACAUAGUUUACUAAUGUAACAAACAUAGUACCUCAAAUCAUUACUUUUUGGAAA